ensembl:lncRNA
AUUCAGGGAAUACUUAAGGAUGCGGAGGACACGCCAUGGCAAAGAAGACUGGUUGGAUAUUAGGUGGAAAGGGGGAGUUAUGAGCCACCCAGUUCAACAGGAUGGAAGUAGCUGCGGUGUCAUUGUUGUCAAGAUGGCAAAAGCAGUGAUGGAGGCAUUUCCUCAGAUCCCAGAUGUUAAAUUUGAGACAUCCAAAAAGGCCAUGAAAAAGGAGAGGAGAGAUCUGGCUCUCGAAAUCCUAAAGGCAUCAGUCUUUGAUGAGCACACUUGUUGCGCAAUGUGUGCAGCCGUGAAGCCUCCGGGAUCUGGACCUCCCAUUACAGACUGGGUCCAGUGUGAUGACUGUGAACGAUGGUUUCAUGCCCUGUGUUUGGCAAUGGACAGCAACAGUUAUGAAAAGGCCAAGAAAGGAGACUGGGAAUGUAUCUUGUGCAAAUAGUGUUUCUUUGAAACUAAAAGUGAUGAACUUGCAAAGGCAUAUGUUAACUAAGCCUGCAGUUAAUAAAUAGAGGAAGCAGUAAAAUUCCAUAAAGAGGUGUGUUUUAUGUGUCCUGUUUAGUAAUACAAAUGGAUACUGGUUUGUGUUCGAUGUGUCCUGUUAAGUAAUACAAAUAGAUACCGGUUUGGAGUCACUGG